GAUGAACGCUGGCGGCGUGCUUAACACAUGCAAGUCGAGCGAAGCACUUAAGUUUGAUUCUUCGGAUGAAGACUUUUGUGACUGAGCGGCGGACGGGUGAGUAACGCGUGGGUAACCUGCCUCAUACAGGGGGAUAACAGUUAGAAAUGGCUGCUAAUACCGCAUAAGACCACAGUACUGCAUGGUACAGUGGUAAAAACUCCGGUGGUAUGAGAUGGACCCGCGUCUGAUUAGGUAGUUGGUGAGGUAACGGCUCACCAAGCCGACGAUCAGUAGCCGACCUGAGAGGGUGACCGGCCACAUUGGGACUGAGCCCCCGGCCCCAGAUUCUUCGGGGAGGCAGCCAUGGGGAAAUAUUGCCCAAGGGGGAAAACCUGAAUGCAGCGCCGCCGCGUAAAGAAUGAAGUAUUUCGUUAGGUAAACUUUUAUCACCAGGGAAGAAAAUGACGGUACCUGAUAAGGAAGCCCCCGGCUAACUACGUGCCAGCAGCCGCGGUAAUACGUAGGGGGCAAGCGUUAUCCGGAUUUACUGGGUGUAAAGGGAGCGUAGACGGCUGUGCAAGUCUGAAGUGAAAGGCAUGGGCUCAACCUGUGGACUGCUUUGGAAACUGUGCAGCUAGAGUGUCGGAGAGGUAAGUGGAAUUCCUAGUGUAGCGGUGAAAUGCGUAGAUAUUAGGAGGAACACCAGUGGCGAAGGCGGCUUACUGGACGAUGACUGACGUUGAGGCUCGAAAGCGUGGGGAGCAAACAGGAUUACAUACCCUGGUAGUCCACGCCGUAAACGAUGACUGCUAGGUGUCGGGUAGCAAAGAUAUUCGGUGCCGCAGCUAACGCAAUAAGCAGUCCACCUGGGGAGUACGUUCGCAAGAAUGAAACUCAAAGGAAUUGACGGGGACCCGCACAAGCGGUGGAGCAUGUGGUUUAAUUCGAAGCAACGCGAAGAACCUUACCUGAUCUUGACAUCCCGAUGACCGCUUCGUAAUGGAAGCUUUUCUUCGGAACAUCGGUGACAGGUGGUGCAUGGUUGUCGUCAGCUCGUGUCGUGAGAUGUUGGGUUAAGUCCCGCAACGAGCGCAACCCUUAUCUUCAGUAGCCAGCAUUAAGGAUGGGCACUCUGGAGAGACUGCCAGGGAUAACCUGGAGGAAGGUGGGGAGGACGUCAAAUCAUCAUGCCCCUUAUGACCAGGGCUACACACGUGCUACAAUGGCGUAAACAAAGGGAAGCAGAGCCGCGAGGCCGAGCAAAUCUCAAAAAUAACGUCUCAGUUCGGAUUGUAGUCUGCAACUCGACUACAUGAAGCUGGAAUCGCUAGUAAUCGCAGAUCAGAAUGCUGCGGU
rnacentral:rRNA from 1 species